rnacentral:lncRNA from 1 species
AAGCUGAAGCAUUUGGAUGCUGCUGGUCAGUGGGCAGCUUUCCUUCCUGAUGUGAUCCAGGGAACCAUCCUUCAUCCUUUUUGUGUUUGGCUCACCCCCUCAUUGGACCUCAUCCUUGCAGCUGUCCCCAACCAACUGGUCAGAGAGGAAGCAGAAAAGAGAAGGCUAUAUCUUAAGGUCUUUGCCCAAAAGUGACAUACAACCUCUUCUUAUUUUUCAUUGGUGGAAUGAAUUACAUGACCAUGCGUAGAUACAAGGGAGGUAGGAAACGUAGUUACCAAUUCUCUCUGAGUAGAGCUAUGACAUUUUGGGGCAGCAAGUUAUCGCUCCCACAUUAGAAAUGAUGCUCAUGAGAAGUUUGCACUGAAGGCCAGGGAGGUGAUUGGUUCAAAGCUAGGUCAAAGUAAGGGGUUGAGGGUAUUGCUUUUUUUUUCCCCAAGUCCUUUGGGGAUGAUCCCAUUCAUAGAAAGGGGUUGAGCAUACAAGAAAAAAAAAGGGGGAACGGGGGAGUGAUGAACAGGAUGAAAAAAGACAAGGUGGGAGAAUGCCAUAUGCAAAGGCCAAAUGCAAGGAUUGGUUCAGGAAGGAUGAAUAACUAUUGGAAGGGAAGAGAAUCAUGUGGGGGCAUAAAUAGAUCUGUAUGCUUAAUAAUAUGAAACACAAGGAGUUCUUCUUUUCUGGCAUCUAUUUUUGUUUAUUUGUUUGUUUCUAGAAAAUAGGCUAAGUACAGGGGGAAGUGUGCAGUAUGAGAAUUUUGUGGAGAGUGACAAUUUGAAAUUCUUCUUGCUUCGUUCAGUACUUAUUUUACAGUAGGUGCUCUAUGAAUGUUUCUUGAAUUCACUGAUAGGUGCAUUGCCUUUCCCAAUAUUUUCAGGAUAGCAUUUGGGGAUUGUUAUGAAUAAAUAAGGGCUCUUUCCCUUGCCUAUGAUUAGACACGAAAAUCUUGCUGCAAAUCAGGUGCCCUU